GAGAAGAUGGUUAUCAGAUGGAUGUUUGGUGCGAUAAGACAAGUAAAGAGGCUAUAAUCUUAAACAGAGAUAAGAAAUAGUGACUGUAUCGAACAACGAUUGUCAGAAAAGUGUGUUAAACACGGCAAAGUUUCAGGUUAAAGUGACAUUCUCAAGAUUCAAUAAUUUAGUAUUGCUACUUAAAGACGUGUUCAAUUUAGUAUUGCUACUUAAAAACGUGUUCAAUUCCAGAAUAUGGUAAAUUGACAAUGGUUCAAGUUUUGAGCUACAAACUUUAAAAAAAAAAAAAUUAAUUAUUAUUUUUAUACAAAACUGUAAAUGCUGGUA